GGGAGAGUACCUCUGAGUUCCUAAAAUUUUGUCUCCCUUUUACAAAUGGCGUAACAUUUUGCUAGAUUGCACAGUUUUAUUUUUUUGGGGAUAACCUUGGCGUCCGGGCCAGCUCGUGCUACCUCGACUAAUUCUAUGGGGUACUUGCUACAUCCACCAGCACAGGCGAUAAAUGCAGUCUCUGACACUCAAAAGCAAGAGGGAACAAGUUUUGGUCCUGAAGCCCUUCCCCUGAAGUGGGCGCAUCCAAUUUCAGCACCUGAGAACGGCUGUGUUCUAGUUGCCACUGAAAAGCUCGACGGAGUUCAUACUUUUGAAAGAAAAGUAAUUUUUCUCCUCAGAUCUGGAAAUAGGCACCCACAAGAGGGUCCAUUUGGUGUAGUCAUAAACCGGCCACUAGGCAAAAAGAUCAUUGACAUGAAACCCACAAAUGUUGACCUGGCAACAACCUUUGCUGAUUGUUCCUUGCACUUCGGUGGGCCCCUUGAGGCAACUAUGUUUUUACUAAAAACAGGGGCUGGUUCGGGGCUACCUAGGUUUGAAGAGGUGAUUCCUGGAGUGUGUUUUGGAGCUCGGAACAGUUU
rnacentral:misc_RNA from 1 species